rnacentral:lncRNA from 1 species
AUCAGUCAGUAAUUUUCUCUCAAACCCUGUAGUACUGUAGGAUUUAUGAACUGGCUUCUCAAAACUUAGUCCUUUCCUUAAUACCCCCAUUUCCUAUUCUAUUCGAAGAAAGAUUCAUAAAUUCAUUCUCUUCCACAUUAUCUUAGAUAAAAGGAUGAACUAUCUCUUUGGCCACCCUUACAGACAUAAGAGUGCCAUUAUAUUUAGGACUAGGGGACUUAGAAGGAGAAUUUAUAGAAAAAGAAGAAAAAUGUUGAGGAUCUAAAGCCAAUAUUGUUAGAUUAUCAGCUAACCAAUCAGUCCCACACUCAACACUGUUAGAAGGGUUUCUACGCUCUUCAAGUAAAUCCCCUUCAAACAAAUAUUCUUCCACCUCAAAAGGUUUAAUCAAUGUAAGAGAAACUGGUCUCUUAGAAAUAUCAGGUUGGGUUCUAGACUCAGGAGAAGGGCUAGAUGAUUAGGCUUUAGGAUGGACGAUCAAAAGAUAAGAAGAUAGAGGUUUUGAUGUUGGAGAAGUUGUUUAGAUGAUUUUACAGUAGACCUGUUGUGGAGAAACAACUAAAAUCACUGAUUGGUGAUCCUAAGAGGCGCUCAGUAAUGGAUUUUGGUAUAGGAGGUUUCUUAAAAAAGGAGGUUUCAAAAAAGGGAGAAGGAUUUGUUGAAGAGGUUUUGAUGAGAAGAACAUUCUAUUCUGAAGGUGUUUUGGUCAGAGAGGAAGAAAGAGAUAUUUUUUUGCUUUAAGAUAGAAGAUUCAAGAAUAAGAAGAUGAGUUAACGUAAAAAGAUAAUUAUCGACACAAAAAUGGAGUUUAAGGGAAGCACUUAGUAUUUUUGUAACAAU